GAUGAACGCUAGCGAUAGGCUUAACACAUGCAAGUCGAGGGGUAACGUGUUGGAAGCUUGCUUCCGAUGACGACGACCGGCGGAUGGGUGCGUAACGCGUAUGCAACUUGCCUCACAGUGGAGAAUAACCCGGAGCAAUCCGGACUAAUACUCCAUACACUCUUCAGUACGCCUGUACAUGAAAGGAAAGAUUUAUCGCUGUGAGAUAGGCAUCGUCCUAUUAGGUAGUUGGUGAGGUAACGGCUCACCAAGCCGACGAUAGGUAGGGGUGCUGAGAGGCAGAUCCCCCACAUUGUGACUGAGACACGGCCCAAACUCCUACGGGAGGCAGCGGUGAGGAAUAUUGGUCGAUGGAGGAAACUCUGAACCAGCCCAGGCGCGUGAAGGAAGAAUGUCCUUAGGAUUGUAAUCUUCUUUAGCGAGCGAGUAAGGACUUCCACGUGAUGGGGGUUUGAAAGUAGCUCGAGAAUAAGUAUCGGCUAACUCCGUG
rnacentral:rRNA from 1 species